UACAGAGGGUGCAAGCGUUUGUUCGGAAUUAUUGGGCGUAAAGAGCUCGUAGGCGGUUUGUCGCGUCUGCUGUGAAAACUCGGGGCUUAACUCCGGGCCUGCAGUGGGUACGGGCAGACUAGAGUGCGGUAGGGGAGACUGGAAUUCCUGGUGUAGCGGUGAAAUGCGCAGAUAUCAGGAGGAACACCGGUGGCGAAGGCGGGUCUCUGGGCCGUAACUGACGCUGAGGAGCGAAAGCGUGGGGAGCGAACAGG
rnacentral:rRNA from 1 species